rnacentral:rRNA from 1 species
AGUGAACGCUGGCGGUAGGCCUAACACAUGCAAGUCGAACGGCAGCACAGUAAGAGCUUGCUCUUACGGGUGGCGAGUGGCGGACGGGUGAGGAAUACAUCGGAACCUACUUUUUCGUGGGGGAUAACGUAGGGAAACUUACGCUAAUACCGCAUACGACCUACGGGUGAAAGCAGGGGAUCUUCGGACCUUGCGCGAUUGAAUGAGCCGAUGUCGGAUUAGCUAGUUGGCGGGGUAAAGGCCCACCAAGGCGACGAUCCGUAGCUGGUCUGAGAGGAUGAUCAGCCACACUGGAACUGAGACACGGUCCAGACUCCUACGGGAGGCAGCAGUGGGGAAUAUUGGACAAUGGGCGCAAGCCUGAUCCAGCCAUACCGCGUGGGUGAAGAAGGCCUUCGGGUUGUAAAGCCCUUUUGUUGGGAAAGAAAAGCAGCAGGUUAAUACCCCGCUGUUCUGACGGUACCAAAAGAAUAAGCACCGGCUAACUUCGUG